AUUGAACGCUGGCGGCAUGCUUUACACAUGCAAGCCGAACGGUAACAGGCCGCCAGGUGCUGACGAGUGGCGAACGGGUGAGUAAUGCAUCGGAACGUGCCCAGUCGUGGGGGAUAACUACUCGAAAGGGUAGCUAAUACCGCAUACGAUCUAUGGAUGAAAGCGGGGGACCGUAAGGCCUCGCGCGAUUGGAGCGGCCGAUGUCAGAUUAGGUAGUUGGUGGGGUAAAGGCUCACCAAGCCAACGAUCUGUAGCUGGUCUGAGAGGACGACCAGCCACACUGGGACUGAGACACGGCCCAGACUCCUAAGGGAGGCAGCAGUGGGGAAUUUUGGACAAUGGGCGCAAGCCUGAUCCAGCAAUGCCGCGUGCAGGAAGAAGGCCUUCGGGUUGUAAACUGCUUUUGUACGGAACGAAACGGCUCUGGUUAAUACCCGGGGCUAAUGACGGUACCGUAAGAAUAAGCACCGGCUAACUACGUG
rnacentral:rRNA from 1 species